rnacentral:misc_RNA from 1 species
GGUGCAACAUGAAGAGCAUAGUCCGGUCCGAAAUACUCAUAAUAUUCAUGUUGAGGCAUCUUGUCAUCAACUUCCACACCAAGUGCAACUCCUGUCUCGUAGCACCAACAGCGAGCAACAUUUCGAAUUGUAUACCCACCACCACCCAGCAGCAAUAGUGGCACAUUGAAGGAUCUCAUAUAUCUCACACACUCUGCAUGACCUUUUAUGGAAAGGUUAAAACAGCCCAACCGGUCUCCAGAUAAGGAAUCAGCACCACACUGAAGCACUACAGCACCAGGCCUGAAAACUUCCAUCACUUUUGCCAUGAUAGGUUUGAACAGAGACUGAUAGCUCUCAUCAUCA